rnacentral:miRNA from 1 species
CAGUGUUCCCAUGUCUCCCAGUGUCCCAAUGUCUCUCAAUGUCCCCUAGUGACAUGGGGACACUGGGAGACAUGGGGACACA